CAAUAGCGUAUAUUAAUGCUGUUGCGGUUAAAAAGCUCGUAGUUGGAUUUUGGAGCUCGAACUCUUGGUCCGGUGUAAACCGCGUACCGAUGGUUGGGUUCUUCUGUCUGGAGGCUGGGCGCUACCACUUGAUUGUGGGGCGAACAGUGUCUAGGACUUUUACUUUGAACAAAUUAGAGUGUUUAAAGCAGGCUCACGCCUUGAAUACAUUAGCAUGGAAUAACCACUUAGGACUUUGGUCCUAUUUUGUUGGUUUUAAGGACUAAAGUAAUGAUUAAUAGGGACGAUUGGGGCCAUUAGUAUUUGACAGCCAGAGGUGAAAUUCUUAGACUUGUCAAAGACUAACCGCUGCGAAAGCGUUUGGCAAGUGCGUUUUCAUUAA
rnacentral:rRNA from 1 species